UUGAUUGGCAAUGCAUUUGUAGCAAUUCAUCCAAAGUAAUACCAUUUAGGUAUUAUAGUACAAAAAUUCAGUGACCAAAAAUUAAGAUGGUUAGACUGUGCGAAUGUACAGACUAGUCUGUUGGCAAAUGCUAAUAACAUCACAUAUAAUUCUAGCAGUUAAAAGGUUAACAAUGGAAGAGCAGCUUAAAAUUUAGCGCAACUAUACAAUGAUACUUUUCUAAGGUUUUAAUAUUAUAAAGGAACAUUUUGAUUUUUUAUAUAUGUAUGAUUACCAUCCAUAGAUAAAGAUGCUACAUAUAUGGAUUAUACAAUUGGUAGAGAUAGUUGUAACAAUAUAUCACCAGGAGAAUACUGCAAUGGACGAUUGGUGCCUGGAACAGAAUACAUAUUUGUUGCAGUUACUUGUACAAAUGGAGGUUGUUUGUUGAGUAAUGAGUAUGGACCAUUCUUUACUCUCGAUG